rnacentral:tRNA from 1 species
GGCAUGGUGGCUCAGUGGUUAGAGCGCCCGCCUCAUGAACAGGAGGUCGUAGGUUCGAACCCAGCCGAGUCA